UAGUUCUAACCCAUAAACGAUGCCAGCUAGCGAUCUGAGGACGUUUUUUUUGUAGACUCCUCAGGAAGCUUCCGGGAAACCAAAGCGUGUGGGUUCCGGGGGAAGUAUGGUUGCAAAGCUGAAACUUAAAGGAAUUGACGGAAGGGCACCACCAGGAGUGGAGCCUGCGGCUUAAUUUGACUCAACACGGGAAAUCUCACCAGGCCCGGACACUGGAAGGAUUGACAGAUUGAGAGCUCUUUCUCGAUUCGGUGGGUGGUGGUGCAUGGCCGUUCUUAGUUGGUGGAGUGAUUUGUCUGGUUAAUUCCGAUAACGAACGAGACUCUGUCCUGCUAAAUAGUGUCAGCCUCUCUUUUGGGCUGACAAUUCUUCUUAGAGGGACUGGCGGCUCCUAGCCGCACGAGAUAGAGCAAUAACAGGUCUGUGAUGCCCUUAGAUGUUCUGGGCCGCACGCGCGCUACACUGAAUAGAUCAGCGUGUUCUCCCUUUCUGAGAAGAACGGGUAAACCGCUGAACCCUAUUCGUGGUAGGGAUCGGGGCUUGCAAUUAUUCCCCGUGAACCAGGAAUUCCCAGUAGGCGCGAGUCAUAAGCUCGCGUCGAUUACGUCCCUGCCCUUUGUACACACCGCCCGUCGCUAUUACCGAUUGAAUGGCUA
rnacentral:rRNA from 1 species